GUCGGUGUUAGGCCUCAAGGAGCCUGCCAAGUGCUUGUCUGUGCUGACCUCGACCUGCCUGUGAGGGAUCUGGUUUGUGUUUAUGAAAAUACAGGGGAAAAAAAAGAUGCUGUGAAAGUGAAGAACAUAUUGUUAAGAAUGAGAAUUUCCUGGCAGGCAGUCCUUCGAGGUCAUUUUAAUUUUCCAGACAUCUUCAUCAGCUGUUAUAAACCAAUAGCAGUUAUUACUUGGAAAUGGAAAUUAUUGAAAACGUAUAGAGAAAUUCCAAGGAUCCUGACACUGAGGCUUGUCAUGGCAGCUUCUUUUGUAAACAGUUUGUACAGUGAGUCUAUGCAGAAUCCUACAAAUCCUGUGAAACUAAGGCUGGGGAGAGAAAGAGAAGGAAACCUAUUUUUCAGAGUUCAUGUCUGGUUGGAGACUGCGUUGAUAAGAAGUAGAUGGUGUUCAGUUCUGCUUCUUAAACAGCAAUCUACUUGCUCUGCAGGUGUAAAAGCUCCAUCUCCAAUGCAGUACAUCGUGUGUGAAACAACCUCACUGUGUGUGCCUGCAUGGCUGCCUCUGAGCUGGAGGUGA
rnacentral:lncRNA from 1 species